AACACCAGACAGAUGGCACCUGCAAUGUCAAUCAGAAAUAAUGGACCCAUUAUCAUUUAUCUUAAUGGGAGGCUAUGAUCUAGUUAUCCCCAUAACUAGCUCAUUUUAGGAACCUAAUAAUUUAGAGAAUUUAAUUUAUGAGUCAAGAGAAGAAAAGAGAUUAAUCAAUAAAUCACAAUCCUCUCACUGACUUCACCAGGUCAUUGAAUUGGAUUAAGCUCAUGCUGGUUGAACUGGCACC
rnacentral:lncRNA from 1 species